GAUGAACGCUAGCUACAGGCUUAACACAUGCAAGUCGAGGGGAAACGACAUCGAAAGCUUGCUUUUGAUGGGCGUCGACCGGCGCACGGGUGAGUAACGCGUAUCCAACCUGCCCACCACUUGGGGAUAACCUUGCGAAAGUAAGACUAAUACCCAAUGAUAUCCAUAGAAGACAUCUGAAAUGGAUUAAAGAUUUAUCGGUGAUGGAUGGGGAUGCGUCUGAUUAGCUUGUUGGCGGGGUAACGGCCCACCAAGGCGACGAUCAGUAGGGGUUCUGAGAGGAAGGUCCCCCACAUUGGAACUGAGACACGGUCCAAAACUCCUACGGGAGGCAGCAGUGAGGAAUAUUGGUCAAUGGGCGAGAGCCUGAACCAGCCAAGUAGCGUGCAGGACGACGGCCCUAUGGGUUGUAAACUGCUUUUAUAAGGGAAUAAAGUGGGUCUCGUGAGACUUUUUGCAUGUACCUUAUGAAUAAGGACCGGCUAAUUCCGUG
rnacentral:rRNA from 1 species